rfam:Schistosoma margrebowiei strain Zambia genome assembly, scaffold: SMRZ_contig0000003
AUUCAGCUGACAAGUCCCAAACAGGACGAAACGCGUGUUGUCCUGGAU